rnacentral:rRNA from 1 species
GACGAACGCUGGCGGCGUGCUUAACACAUGCAAGUCGAACGGAAAGGCCCUGCUUGCAGGGUACUCGAGUGGCGAACGGGUGAGUAACACGUGGGUGAUCUGCCCUGCACUUCGGGAUAAGCCUGGGAAACUGGGUCUAAUACCGGAUAGGAGCCAUUUUUAGUGUGAUGGUUGGAAAGUUUUUUCGGUGUAGGAUGAGCUCGCGGCCUAUCAGCUUGUUGGUGGGGUAAUGGCCUACCAAGGCGGCGACGGGUAGCCGGCCUGAGAGGGUGGACGGCCACAUUGGGACUGAGAUACGGCCCAGACUCCUACGGGAGGCAGAAGUGGGGAAGAUUGCACAAUGGGCGCAAGCCUGAUGCAGCGACGCCGCGUGGGGGAUGACGGCCUUCGGGUUGAAAACGCCUUUCGCUAGGGACGAAGCUUUUUGUGACGGUACCUAGAUAAGAAGCACCGGCUAACUACGUG